UACAGAGGGUGCGAGCGUUAAUCGGAAUUACUGGGCGUAAAGGGUGCGUAGGUGGCUACGUAAGUUAGGUGUGAAAUUCCCGGGCUUAACCUGGGAACUGCGCCUGAUACUGCGUGACUAGAGUAUUGUAGAGGAAAGUGGAAUUUCCGGUGUAGCGGUGAAAUGCGUAGAUAUCGGAAGGAACAUCGGUGGCGAAGGCGACUUUCUGGACAUUUCCUGACGCUGAGGCACGAAAGCCAGGGGAGCAAACGGG
rnacentral:rRNA from 1 species